AAAAAAGGUAAGCUACUAAGAGCGAAUGGUGGAUGCCUUGACUGGUAAAGGCGAUGAAGGACGUACUAGACUGCGAUAAGCUACGGGGAGCUGUCAAGAAGCUUUGAUCCGUAGAUUUCCGAAUGGGGCAACCCAAUGUAUAGAGAUAUACAUUACCUAUAUAGGAGCGAACGAGGGGAAUUGAAACAUCUUAGUACCCUCAGGAAAAGAAAUCAAUAGAGAUUGCGUCAGUAGCGGCGAGCGAAAGCGCAAGAGGGCAAACCCAGUGCUUGCACUGGGGGUUGUAGGACUGCAAUAUGCAAGAGGUAAGUUUAGCAGAACAUUCUGGAAAGUAUAACCAUAGAGGGUGAUAGUCCCGUAUGCGAAAAACAAACCUUAGCUAGCAGUAUCCUGAGUAGGGCGGGACACGAGGAAUCCUGUCUGAAUCCGGGUCGACCACGAUCCAACCCUAAAUACUAAUACCAGAUCGAUAGUGCACAAGUACCGUGAGGGAAAGGUGAAAAGAACUGAGGUGAUCAGAGUGAAAUAGAACCUGAAACCAUUUGCUUACAAUCAUUCAGAGCCCUAUGUAGCAAUACAGGGUGAUGGACUGCCUUUUGCAUAAUGAGCCUGCGAGUUGUGGUGUCUGGCAAGGUUAAGCAAACGCGAAGCCGUAGCGAAAGCGAGUCUGAAUAGGGCGCUUAGUCAGAUGCUGCAGACCCGAAACGAAGUGAUCUAUCCAUGAGCAAGUUGAAGCUAGUGUAAGAACUAGUGGAGGACUGAACCCAUAGGCGUUGAAAAGCCCCGGGAUGACUUGUGGAUAGGGGUGAAAGGCCAAUCAAACUUCGUGAUAGCUGGUUCUCUCCGAAAUAUAUUUAGGUAUAGCGUUGUGUCGUAAUAUAAGGGGGUAGAGCACUGAAUGGGCUAGGGCAUACACCAAUGUACCAAACCCUAUCAAACUCCGAAUACCUUAUAUGUAAUCACAGCAGUCAGGCGGCGAGUGAUAAAAUCCGUCGUCAAGAGGGAAACAACCCAGACUACCAGCUAAGGUCCCUAAGUCUUACUUAAGUGGAAAACGAUGUGAAGUUACUUAAACAACCAGGAGGUUGGCUUAGAAGCAGCCAUCCUUUAAAGAAAGCGUAAUAGCUCACUGGUCUAGUGAUUUUGCGCGGAAAAUAUAACGGGGCUAAAGUAAGUACCGAAGCUGUAGACUUAGUUUACUAAGUGGU
rnacentral:rRNA from 1 species